ensembl:snoRNA
GCUGUGAUGUAUGCAUAGUUUCUAUCUGGGUCUAGCAGUUUCUGUGUCUUGCAUUCAGAUCUAGCUAUCCACACAAACAUCAUGCAGCCAAAGAGUAGCUUGACAUCAUAGUACUGGUCUAGUGUGUGUCUUUGGAUACAUGUCCCCCUGAUCGGCCUCCAAAUUCUUGCAUACAA